AGUUGGGCUCUCCUGCAUUUAUUCCUACAUAUAUAUCAUCCUUUAGUAAGAGACAAAUUGUAUAACUAUAUAUAGAUCGUUUCCUUCAUUUUAUGCAUUCCACGUCAAUGAAAAUGUCUUAGACUUGAAAGUAAAAUGCUGCGCUUAUACUUCCCACUUUUUCUCCCUUAUUUAUGACACUUCGGGACAUUUAUGUUGUAAAUAUGAAUUAGUUUCUUCAUUUCACUCAUUUCUUGGGAAUAAAAUGUCUCUUGAAAACUGACAGGUGGAUAGGAUGAUAGGUGGAUAUAGGCAGGCGUGUUUCAUACAGGGACUGCCACGUGUAGGCCUGGUGGCUUCUUGUACCAACCCUUAUGUUCUUAUCUUUUAUACAGGGACUGCCACAUGUAGGCCUGGUAGCUUCUUGUACCAACCGUUAUGUUCUUAUUUUUUAUACAGGGACCGCCACGUGUAGGCCUGGUGGCUUUUUUGUACCAACCUUUAUGUUCCUCUGUUCGUAUGUUAUGUUUCAUACAAGGACUGCCACGAGUAGGGCUGAUGGCUUCUUGCACCAACCCUCAUGUUCUUAUGCCCUCCUGAGAGGGAUGAAGAAGCAAAUUGACCUUGUUCUGUGAUUGACAGCGGGGAUCUGGCGGUGGUGGCGCGGGCAAUGCUGCAGGAGGAGCUGGGGGGCUGCUUCCUCACGCUGAUUGGUGGAGGACACGAGGCGACUCAACUUCUCGCCCAAUUAGCUGCGUCCCUUCACGUCCCUCUUCAGGUAACCCAACACGAACUGAACCCAACACGCCCUCCGAACAUCACGUGGGUUCAGAGCUCCUGCGAUGCCUUUCUCGUGACCGUGGGGGACGUGGGCAAGGCGCUGGAUUACCUGAAGGAGAACGAGCUGCCUUGGAACUACCGGGGAAGGUACGUGUUCUUCGGAGCCUCCUGCUUGAGUGACCUGCUUCCCUUGACGACCUCAGACAAGAUGGCGAAGACGGAGCAUGCCCUUUUUGUAUGGUGAGGUGUUUGUCUAUAUGUCUGUUUGUUUGU